UCGAGGGGCAGCGGGUGGAGUAUUUCGGUACUCCUGCCGGCGACCGGCGCACGGGUGCGUAACGCGUAUGCAACCUACCUUUAACAGGGGGAUAAUCCGAAGAAAUUUGGUCUAAUACCCCAUAAUAUCAUUUAAGGCAUCUUAGAUGGUUGAAAAUUCCGAUGGUUAGAGAUGGGCAUGCGUUGGAUUAGCUAGUUGGUGAGGUAACGGCCCGCCAAGGCGACGAUCCAUAGCCGACCUGAGAGGGUGACCAGCCACAUUGGGACUGAGACACGGCCCAAACUCC
rnacentral:rRNA from 1 species